rnacentral:lncRNA from 1 species
ACGAGCUGAACCAGGUUUAUCGUCUGGACAGUUGAUGUCAGACCAGUCAGUUCCUCUGUUGACACCGUGGUGAUUGGAGUUUACCCAGACUCCACUAGGGCCACUUCAGCAGCUGAUUGUGGUGGUUGUCAGGGGUGGGAACUCCAGUCCUCCAGGGCCUGAUUGGUGACUGUUUCUCCAUCUCUAGCAGCUGAUUAAUCAAUUGUCAUUCUAAACUGAAGAUCAUGAUUAGGUGAUUAUUGGAGUCAGGUGUGUUAGCUGGGGCAAAACUGCGACACUAAUCGGCCGUCGAGGGACUGGAGUUGCCCACCCCGCGUCUAGCCUUAGUUCAUCUAGCGGUAUGACAGGCAUAGCAGCAGGAAGUAGGGGUGCUGAGGGUGAUGCAGCAGGAAGUAGGGGUGCUGAGGGUGAUGCAGCAAGGCCUGGUCCAGCAUCGUAACCUGGUCUAGCAUCGUAACCUGGUCUAGCAUCGUAACCUGGUCUAGCAUCGUAACCUGGUCCAGCAUCGUAACCUGGUCCAGCAUCGUAACCUGGUCUAGCAUCGUAACCUGGUCCAGCAUCUUUGAGUGAUUCGAAGUUUGAGGAACUUACAUUUUUUUGCAGUGAGGGCAUUUUGCUAGUGUGUUAAAUCGGAGCUCCAUCCACUGCAGAAGAAAAGACAAGCAGCUGUUAGAGAGAUCUCUCACUCACUCACACAAACAUAUCAUUCCGUUCUACUCUACAGUCAACUAACAACUACCGAAGGCCAUGUCACUGAUUUCAACCCCCACCAAUCACACCACCAUCUUUCUUUUUGUUGUCCGUGAUGCUGGUGUAGGUCGUCCCUGGUAGGGACCUGGCGUACACGAAGCACGUUGGGCGUUAGUUUAAGGCUGAUUCCUUUCACGUUGCUCAUCAAUUUGAGUUGAUUAGGGGUUAGUUGAAGGUUGUUAUUAAGUGAAUAGAAGUUGUAUUAUAUUUGAAACUUUAUUGGAGCCCCAAGGUGCCGUGGUAAAAGCCCCAGCUCAUAGAGACCUGGUCUGUGGAGGUGCUGUUGUCAUGGAGAUCAGGAGGGGCCGUGGCAGAGUCCUCGUUACCCUAGACACCAAGACGCAUAACGGGCAACAAACUUAACACACCAGGGUACCGCUACUGUAGGUAGGCUGUGUCACAAAUGGCACCCUAUGGGUCCUGGUCUAAAGUAGUGCACUAUAUAGGGAAUAGGGUUCCAUAGGGCUCUGGUCUAAAGUAGUGCACUAUAUAGGGAAUAGGGUUCUAUAGGACUCUGGUCUAAAGUAGUGUACUAUAUAGGGAAUAGGGUUCCAUAGGGCUCUGGUCUAAAGUAGUGCACUAUAUAGGGAAUAGGGUUCCAUAGGGCUCUGGUCUAAAGUAGUGCACUAUGUAGGGAAUAGAGUGCCAUCUGGGAUGCAACCUGGGGAUCAAUACAUCACUUUAAACUCCUUUUCGACUUUGGCUGGAGCUGUCCAGAGCGCCUCCAAUUCUUGAGG